GGAAUAUAGCUCAAUUGGCAGAGUGCUUGCCUCACGUGCACAAGGCCUUGGGUUCAAUCCCCAGCACCA
rnacentral:tRNA from 1 species